AGAGUUUGAUUAUGGCUCAGGAUGAACGCUGGCGGCGUGCCUAACACAUGCAAGUCGAACGGAUCCAUGCUGAAACCUAGUGAUGCAUGGAUUAGUGGCGGACGGGUGAGUAACGCGUGGAUAACCUGCCGUAUACUGGGGGAUAACACUUAGAAAUAGGUGCUAAUACCGCAUAAGCGCACAGUCUCGCAUGAGACGGUGUGAAAAACUCCGGUGGUAUACGAUGGAUCCGCGUCUGAUUAGCUUGUUGGCGGGGUAACAGCCCACCAAGGCGACGAUCAGUAGCCGGCCUGAGAGGGUGAACGGCCACAUUGGGACUGAGACACGGCCCAAACUCCUACGGGAGGCAGCAGUGGGGAAUAUUGCACAAUGGGGGAAACCCUGAUGCAGCGACGCCGCGUGAGUGAAGAAGUGCCCCGGCACGUAAAGCUCUAUCAGCAGGGAAGAAAAUGACGGUACCUGACCAAGAAGCCCCGGCUAACUACGUGCCAGCAGCCGCGGUAAUACGUAGGGGGCAAGCGUUAUCCGGAUUUACUGGGUGUAAAGGGAGCGUAGACGGCGGCGCAAGUCUGGAGUGAAAUCCCGGGGCUCAACCCCGGAACUGCUUUGGAAACUGCGCGGCUCGAGUGCAGGAGGGGCAGGCGGAAUUCCUAAUGUAGCGGUGA
rnacentral:rRNA from 1 species